rnacentral:lncRNA from 1 species
CUUGGAAAGCCCAGUACCUGGUGAGUAGGGAAGUGUCCUCCCAGGUGGUUCCAACCUUUAACCCAAUUCCUCUGUCUUGGAGGCAAAGGGAAAGGACGUGGCUGAUCCCCGCAGAGCCCAAGGCCAGCCACCAUCCUUUCAUGGAGCCAGGCAGCUUCGAGAAGCCACUGAGGCUCCUUGUGCUCCUUGUGUGGGCACAAAGUGUGGGCUUCUGGAGGGGGUCCUUGGACCUCUAUCUCAGCAGGGACAUUCCUCCUCCCCCCGCCUUCCAGACCUCCUGCUCCAGAUGCCUGGCUUCUCCAGGGCACCCCGAUGGGUGGCUCUGCCACCCCAGGACACUGGACUGGGGCCACCCUUACAGAACCGGUUCGAAGCCAAACAAUGGCACGUCACAGUCCAGCUGAGCCGGAGGCCUCAGCAGGGCAGCGGGCCCCUUCCCUGGCCCCAGAGGUGAAGGAGGGCGACUUCCCCAGGGAGAGGAAGCAGAAUGACGGCCUGCAGCUUUCCUGCCGCGGGAGGGGAACUUCAGG